CUAGCUUGUGAUUGGCUGGACACAGCCACCCGUCAAUCAGGGCCUCCUCAGUCAGAAACACUUAAAAGACAAGUGUUCCCAAACACUUUGUCCCUCAACAUUCCACAGCUGCUAUGUUACAUGUGAGGAGACCAGAAGCCUGUUUACUUUUGUUCCUGGCUCUCACUGCAACAACCUUGCCUCCCAAUCUGAGGCUGCUUCAACCGUGUGAAGGAGGAAUACAGGACAGUACUUCAUCUUGUUGGUGACCUGGUGAGCUCCCUGCUGCUAUGUUGACCAUUGUCAUGAUGUAGACUUCACAUCCAGGUUUUGAAGGAGAGAGUAAACAACAACAACAACUAAUAACCAAGAUUUUUUUUCCAGAAAAGUCCUAAAGAAAAAGAAAACACUGAGGCUUGGUACAUAUUGUGAAUCAAAGCCAAUUAAAAUGGGACUCAACCAGAGGAUCUUAUGCAACAUGAUUUGCCAAUGUGAACCAAUGAAGCAUGUAACUACUUCUCCUGUCAUU